GGUGCUUGCAUCAUGAUUUACAUUUGAGUGAGUGGCGAACUGGUGAGUAACACGUGGGAAACCUGCCCAGAAGCGGGGGAUAACACCUGGAAACAGAUGCUAAUACCGCAUAACAACUUGGACCGCAUGGUCCGAGUUUGAAAGAUGGCUUCGGCUAUCACUUUUGGAUGGUCCCGCGGCGUAUUAGCUAGAUGGUGAGGUAACGGCUCACCAUGGCAAUGAUACGUAGCCGACCUGAGAGGGUAAUCGGCCACAUUGGGACUGAGACACGGCCCAAACUCCUACGGGAGGCAGCAGUAGGGAAUCUUCCACAAUGGACGAAAGUCUGAUGGAGCAACGCCGCGUGAGUGAAGAAGGGUUUCGGCUCGUAAAACUCUGUUGUUAAAGAAGAACAUAUCUGAGAGUAACUGUUCAGGUAUUGACGGUAUUUAACCAGAAAGCCACGGCUAACUACGUGCCAGCAGCCGCGGUAAUACGUAGGUGGCAAGCGUUGUCCGGAUUUAUUGGGCGUAAAGCGAGCGCAGGCGGUUUUUUAAGUCUGAUGUGAAAGCCUUCGGCUCAACCGAAGAAGUGCAUCGGAAACUGGGAAACUUGAGUGCAGAAGAGGACAGUGGAACUCCAUGUGUAGCGGUGAAAUGCGUAGAUAUAUGGAAGAACACCAGUGGCGAAGGCGGCUGUCUGGUCUGUAACUGACGCUGAGGCUCGAAAGUAUGGGUAGCAAACAGGAUUAGAUACCCUGGUAGUCCAUACCGUAAACGAUGAAUGCUAAGUGUUGGAAGGGUUUCCGCCCUUCAGUGCUGCAGCUAACGCAUUAAGCAUUCCGCCUGGGGAGUACGGCCGCAAGGCUGAAACUCAAAGGAAUUGACGGGGGCCCGCACAAGCGGUGGAGCAUGUGGUUUAAUUCGAAGCUACGCGAAGAACCUUACCAGGUCUUGACAUACUAUGCAAAUCUAAGAGAUUAGACGUUCCCUUCGGGGACAUGGAUACAGGUGGUUGCAUGGUUGUCCUCAGCUCUUGUCCUGAAAAUUUUGGGUUAAUUCCCGCAACG
rnacentral:rRNA from 1 species